rnacentral:rRNA from 1 species
UACGGGGGGGGCAAGCGUUGUUCGGAAUUACUGGGCGUAAAGGGCUCGUAGGUGGCCAAUUAAGUCAGACGUGAAAUCCCCAGGCUCAACCUGGGAACUGCGUCUGAUACUGGUUGGCUUGAAUUCGGGAGAGGGAUGCAGAAUUCCAGGUGUAGCGGUGAAAUGCGUAGAUAUCUGGAGGAAUACCGGUGGCGAAGGCGGCAUCCUGGACCGGCAUUGACGCUGAGGAGCGAAAGCCAGGGGAGCAAACGGG